rnacentral:lncRNA from 1 species
CUGAGCCCAUGGUAUUUUUGUUUGAAUUCUUCAUCACGAUGACAAUAAUUGCAAAAUCGUGUUGAAGAGGACUAGUUAAGACUAGAUUUCAAAGAUGGAGUUGUAGCCAUUAUCGAGUCAAUGGGAUGAGUUUUCAUUAUUUGUUUAUGAGUUUCCUCAAAUAAUAAUUUGCAAUAGCUGCAUCAAGAGUAGAAAGAGGG